UCCCCGCCCGCGCUCACUCCGGGGCAGGCACCGCCAUGCCCAGGUGGUGACACUGAGCAGAGAUAAGGUGUCCUAACAACCGUAUUUGCCUGGAUCCCGGGAAACCCGCGGCCACUCGGCGACUCCCACAUCACCUGCGCGCAUCCCCCCGCGGCUCCACGGAUGCUCCCACUCCACAGACCUGGGCAGCCCAAGGACCCCUCCCGUGGCGACACGGGGUAAGACUGACACCCGCAGCUGCCGACGACCCUGCCAGUCACGCUGCCGCCGGCUGCCUUUUUUAGCCACGACAUCUGACCAGGCUUCCACAGCAGCAUUCACUUUUUACCACAGGACAUACUGUACCCACCCUUUCUGGAUACUGCAAGAAUCACGUGGAUGAACUUCCUUCUGUCAAGCACAAUAAGAAAUAAACCAGCUGGCCAGCA